UACAGAGGUCUCAAGCGUUGUUCGGAUUCAUUGGGCGUAAAGGGUGCGUAGGCGGCGCGGUAAGUCGGGUGUGAAAUCUCGGGGCUUAACUCCGAAACUGCAUUCGAUACUGCCGUGCUUGAGGACUGGAGAGGAGACUGGAAUUUACGGUGUAGCGGUGAAAUGCGUAGAUAUCGUAAGGAAGACCAGUGGCGAAGGCGGGUCUCUGGACAGUUCCUGACGCUGAGGCACGAAGGCCAGGGGAGAAAACGGG
rnacentral:rRNA from 1 species